rnacentral:rRNA from 1 species
GAUGAACGCUGGCGGCGUGCCUAAUACAUGCAAGUCGAGCGAACAGACGAGGAGCUUGCUCCUCUGACGUUAGCGGCGGACGGGUGAGUAACACGUGGAUAACCUACCUAUAAGACUGGGAUAACUUCGGGAAACCGGCGCUAAUACCGGAUAAUAUAUUGAACCGCAUGGUUCAAUAGUGAAAGACGGUUUUGCUGUCACUUCUAGAUGGAUCCGCGCCGCAUUAGCUAGUUGGUAAGGUAACGGCUUACCAAGGCAACGAUGCGUAGCCGACCUGAGAGGGUGAUCGGCCACACUGGAACUGAGACACGGUCCAGACUCCUACGGGAGGCAGCAGUAGGGAAUCUUCCGCAAAGGGCGAAAGCCUGACGGAGCAACGCCGCGUGAGUGAUGAAGGUCUUCGGAUCGUAAAACUCUGUUAUUAGUGAAGAACAAAUGUGUAAGUAACUAUGCACGUCUUGACGGUACCUAAUCAGAAAGCCACGGCUAACUACGUG